rnacentral:rRNA from 1 species
UACGUAGGUGGCAAGCGUUGUCCGGAUUUACUGGGCGUAAAGAGCGCGCAGGCGGUCGUUCAAGUCGCGUGUGAAAGCCCCCGGCUCAACUGGGGAGGGUCACGCGAUACUGAUCGACUCGAAGGCAGGAGAGGGUAGUGGAAUUCCCGGUGUAGUGGUGAAAUGCGUAGAUAUCUGGAGGAAUACCGGUGGCGAAGGCGGCAUCCUGGACCGGCAUUGACGCUGAUGAGCGAAAGCUAGGGGAGCAAACGGG